rnacentral:rRNA from 1 species
UACCAGCACCCCGAGUGGUCGGGACGUUUAUUGGGCCUAAAGCAUCCGUAGCCGGUUCUACGAGUCUUCCGUUAAAUCCAACUGCUUAACAGGUGGGCUGCGGAAGAUACUAUAGAGCUAGGAGGCGGGAGAGGCAAGCGGUACUCGAUGGGUAGGGGUAAAAUCCGUUGAUCCAUUGAAGACCACCAGUGGCGAAGGCGGCGAUCUGGGAAGAUACUGACGCUGAGGUGCGAAAGCGUGGGGAGCAAACAGG